rnacentral:rRNA from 1 species
UACGGGAGGCAGCAGUGGGGAAUAUUGCACAAUGGGCGCAAGCCUGAUGCAGCCAUGCCGCGUGUAUGAAGAAGGCCUUCGGGUUGUAAAGUACUUUCAGUCGUGAGGAAGGUGUUAAGGUUAAUAACCUUAGCAAUUGACGUUAGCGACAGAAGAAGCACCGGCUAACUCCGUGCCAGCAGCCGCGGUAAUACGGAGGGUGCGAGCGUUAAUCGGAAUUACUGGGCGUAAAGGGCACGCAGGCGGUUAAUUGAGUUGGAUGUGAAAUCCCCCGGGCUUAACCUGGGAAUGGCAUUCAAGACUGGUUAGCUAGAGUCUUGUAGAGGGGGUAGAAUUCCAUGUGUAGCGGUGAAAUGCGUAGAGAUGUGGAGGAAUACCGGUGGCGAAGGCGGCCCCUGGGACAAAGACUGACGCUCAUGUGCGAAAGCGUGGGGAGCAAACAGGAUUAGAUAC